GGGAAUAUUCCGCAAUGGACGAAAGUCUGACGGAGCAACGCCGCGUGAGUGAUGAAGGUUUUCGGACUGUAAAGCUCUGUUGUUUAGGACGAAAGUGCCUGUUGCGAACAGUUACAGGUAUUGACGGUACUAAACGAGGAAGCCACGGCUAACUACGUGCCAGCAGCCGCGGUAAUACGUAGGUGGCAAGCGUUGUCCGGAAUUAUUGGGCGUAAAGAGCAUGUAGGCGGAGAUUUAAGUCUGUUGUGAAAAUGCGGGGCUCAACCCCGUAUUGCGAUGGAAACUGAAUUUCUUGAGUGCAGGAGAGGAAAGGGGAAUUCCCAGUGUAGCGGUGAAAUGCGUAGAUAUUGGGAGGAACACCAGUGGCGAAGGCGCCUUUCUGGACUGUGUCUGACGCUGAGAUGCGAAAGCCAGGGUAGCGAACG
rnacentral:rRNA from 1 species